CCUACGGGAGACAGCAGUGAGGAAUAUUGGUCAAUGGUCGGGAGACUGAACCAGCCAAGCCGCGUGAGGGAUGAAGGUACAGAGUAUCGUAAACCUCUUUUGUCAGGGAACAAAGGCGGGGACGUGUCCCCGGAUGAGUGUACCUGAAGAAAAAGCAUCGGCUAACUCCGUGCCAGUAGCCGCGGUAAUACGGAGGAUGCGAGCGUUAUCCGGAUUUAUUGGGUUUAAAGGGUGCGCAGGCGGUCUGUUAAGUCAGCGGGAAAAGCCCGGGGCUCAACCCGGGCCCGCCGUUGAAACUGGGAGUCUCGAGUGGGAGAGAGGUAUGCGGAAUGCGCGGUGUAGCGGUGAAAUGCAUAGAUAUCGCGCAGAACUCCGAUUGCGAAGGCAGCAUGCCGGCUCCACACUGACGCUGAGGCACGAAAGCGUGGGUAUCGAACAGGAUUAGAUACCCCUGUAGUC
rnacentral:rRNA from 1 species